UGAGACAGGGUUUCGCUCUUGUCACCCAGGUUGGAGUGCAAUGGCGUGAUCUUGGCUCACUGCAACCUCUGCCUCCCGGGUUCAAGCAAUUCUCCUGCCUCAGCCUCCCAAAGUGCUGGGAUUACAGGCGUGAGCCACUGCGCCUGGCCAGAAGAAUCUUGAGUUGAGGGGGAGGAUGAAGUGUUUGCACAUUAGAAGCUUAGUCAUGGUAUCUUCAUAAAUGGGGAUCUGGUGAGCAAGGUUGCUCUGCUAACAUUUAUGUAGCCUUAACUGACAGACUGAGUCUCAUAUUGGGUUAGAAUAAACAGCUGCUGCCAAGGAAGCUUAACAUUGGUUCUAAGGAAACUAUGUGGCAUCAGAUAAGCUUGCUUGACAUCAGAACUUGCCACUGACAUGGUUCAUCUGCUGCCUAGCCUAUGUGAUUGUGUUCUCAUUGAUGCACAUUUAAAUUAAUAUUUUGGGCAAUUGGUUAAAAUUUUGACCUUUAGGCCCUAGAGGUUUCUCAUGACUUUAUUUAUGAAGAAUAUUGUUGAUGCAUUUUAGAAUUUAAUUUGUGUUUUUUUCUGAUUAUGAAGGCAAUACAUAGUUGAUUUAAAAAAAAUACUCUGGAAAAAGUAUAGAAAAGGAUUAAGAAGAAAAUAAAAAUCACCUGAAAUUCUACUUCCCAUGGUAUGUUUGCUUCCAGUUAUUUUUUCAAUGUGGAUAUAUAUUUGGGAGAGAGUGGGAUGUUUCCUUAUUAGUGAAAUAGCUGAGGCUUCAGUAAAAUUUCACUUAACACUCAUGAUAUUGAGAUGUUUGCCUAAUGCACUGUGCUAAUUAAGGUUGUUUGUUUAAUCAGGUGGUACAAAUUCUGAUGCCUUAGGAGCCAAAUAGGCAAUGAGUGAAUCAGGCCAGUUAUAAGCACUGGGGAGUGAUGGCAACUGUGGUUAACUGGAAAAUGC
rnacentral:lncRNA from 1 species